GUCAGGGUAGCCUAGUGGACAUGGCAUCUGCCCGGUAAGCGGAACACUGUGGGUUCGAUUCCCGUCCCUGAACA